rnacentral:rRNA from 1 species
AUUGAACGCUGGCGGCAGGCCUAACACAUGCAAGUCGAGCGAGAGGCGGACGGGGGAGUAAUGUAUGGGGAUCUGCGCGAUAGAGGGGGAUAACUACUGGAAACGGUGGCUCAUACCGCAUACUGCCGGAGAAACGCAUAUGGGAUUAGCUAGUAGGUAAGGUAAUGGCUUACCUAGGCGACGAUCCCUAGCUGGUCUGAGAGGAUGAUCAGCCACACUGGGACUGAGACACGGCCCAGACUCCUACGGGAGGCAGCAGUGGGGAAUAUUGCACAAUGGGCGCAAGCCUGAUGCAGCCAUGCCGCGUGUAUGAAGAAGGUCUUCGGAUUGUAAAGCACUUUAAGUUGGGAGGCGUUACCAACAGAAUAAGCACCGGCUAACUUCGUGCCAGCAGCCGCGGUAAUUC